UACGUAGGGGGCAAGCGUUAUCCGGAUUUACUGGGUGUAAAGGGAGCGUAGACGGCAGAGCAAGUCUGAAGUGAAAGCCCGCGGCCCAACUGCGGGACUGCUUUGGAAACUGCCCGGCUAGAGUGCUGGAGAGGUAAGCGGAAUUCCUAGUGUAGCGAUGAAAUGCGUAGAUAUAUGGAGGAACACCGGUGGCGAAAGCGGCUCUCUGGUCUGUAACUGACGCUGAGGCUCGAAAGCGUGGGUAGCGAACAGG
rnacentral:rRNA from 1 species